rnacentral:rRNA from 1 species
UGGCGGACGGGUGAGUAACGCGUGGAAAACCUGCCGUAUACUGGGGGAUAACACUUAGAAAUAGGUGCUAAUACCGCAUAAGCGCACAGCUUCGCAUGAAGCGGUGUGAAAAACUCUGGUGGUAUACGAUGGUUCCGCGUCUGAUUAGCUAGUUGGUGGGGUAAUGGCCUACCAAGGCGACGAUCAGUAGCCGGCCUGAGAGGGUGAACGGCCACAUUGGGACUGAGACACGGCCCAAACUCCUACGGGAGGCAGCAG